GGGGAUGUGGCUCAGUGGUAGAGUUCUUGCCUGAUAAGCAUGAGGCCCUUUGGUGGCCCCC
rnacentral:tRNA from 1 species